CACUGGCCACUCCACUCUGUUUCACUCCACACUAGUUAAGCGGUUCUAACCCUUGAAAGCAAGGGGCCAGACAGUAUAGUAUCUAGCCCAGUCAUGAGUAGGUCCAGGCUGGUCGAGGUACCAAGGAGAGGCCAGGACGACCCUGAGGCCUGCCUUGGUCACCCUGCGGACCUCACACAGGUAGCACCCUCCCUUCCACACCUCCACCACUGACAGAGAGCUGCAACACAGCUGAAACACAACCAAUCUGUAGAACCCAUGAAUCAAUCAUGAAGACCACCCUCAGUCUAGAGACAGCCUCUGAUGUUUUAUCAAAAUAGAAGGAUCUAGGUAAUAUCCCAGUGAGAGGACCCGGCACAGAGGACCCGGCACAGGACCCGGCACAGGACCCGGCAAAUCUAGUCAAAUCAUGUGUAUUUAGACCUGGAAUGUGUCUGGGUGUUUACAUUAGGGUGAUACAGGUAAGGACCAUAUGAUCUGGGUGUUUACAUUAGGGUGAUACAGGUAAGGACCAUAUGAUCUGGGUGUUUACAUUAGGGUGAUACAGGUAAGGACCAUAUGAUCUGGGUGUUUACAUUAGGGUGAUACAGGUAAGGACCAUAUGAUCUGGGUGUUUACAUUAGGGUGAUACAGGUAAGGACUGUAUGAUCUGGGUGUUUACAUUAGGGUGAUACAGGUAAGGACCAUAUGAUCUGGGUGUUUACAUUAGGGUGAUACAGGUAAGGACCAUAUGAUCUGGGUGUUUACAUUAGGGUGAUACAGGUAAGGACCAUAUGAUCUGGGUGUUUACAUUAGGGUGAUACAGGUAAGGACUGUAUGAUCUGGGUGUUUACAUUAGGGUGAUACAGGUAAGGACCAUAUGAUCUGGGUGUUUACAUUAGGGUGAUACAGGUAAGGACCAUAUGAUCUGGGUGUUUACAUUAGGGUGAUACAGGUAAGGACCAUAUGAUCUGGGUGUUUACAUUAGGGUGAUACAGGUAAGGACCAUAUGAUCUGGGUGUUUACAUUAGGGUGAUACAGGUAAGGACCAUAUGAUCUGGGUGUUGGUGAUACAGGUAAGGACCAUAUGAUCUGGGUGUUUACAUUAGGGUGAUACAGGUAAGGACCAUAUGAUCUGGGUGUUUACAUUAGGGUGAUACAGGUAAGGACCAUAUGAUCUGGGUGUUUACAUUAGGGUGAUACAGGUAAGGACCAUAUGAUCUGGGUGUUUACAUUAGGGUGAUACAGGUAAGGACCGUAUGAUCUGGGUGUUUACAUUAGGGUGAUACAGGUAAGGACCAUAUGAUCUGGGUGUUUACAUUAGGGUGAUACAGGUAAGGACCAUAUGAUCUGGGUGUUUACAUUAGGGUGAUACAGGUAAGGACCGUAUGAUCUGGGUGUUUACAUUAGGGUGAUACAGGUAAGGACCAUAUGAUCUGGGUGUUGGUGAUACAGGUAAGGACCGUAUAAUCUGGGUGUUUACAUUAGGGUGAUACAGGUAAGGACCAUAUGAUCUGGGUGUUUACAUUAGGGUGAUACAGGUAAGGACCAUAUGAUCUGGGUGUUUACAUUAGGGUGAUACAGGUAAGGACUGUAUGAUCUGGGUGUUUACAUUAGGGUGAUACAGGUAAGGACCAUAUGAUCUGGGUGUUUACAUUAGGGUGAUACAGGUAAGGACCAUAUGAUCUGGGUGUUUACAUUAGGGUGAUACAGGUAAGGACUGUAUGAUCUGGGUGUUUACAUUAGGGUGAUACAGGUAAGGACCGUAUGAUCUGGGUGUUUACAUUAGGGUGAUACAGGUAAGGACCAUAUGAUCUGGGUGUUUACAUUAGGGUGAUACAGGUAAGGACCAUAUGAUCUGGGUGUUUACAUUAGGGUGAUACAGGUAAGGACCAUAUGAUCUGGGUGUUUACAUUAGGGUGAUACAGGUAAGGACCAUAUGAUCUGGGUGUUUACAUUAGGGUGAUACAGGUAAGGACCAUAUGAUCUGGGUGUUUACAUUAGGGUGAUACAGGUAAGGACCAUAUGAUCUGGGUGUUUACAUUAGGGUGAUACAGGUAAGGACCAUAUGAUCUGGGUGUUUACAUUAGGGUGAUACAGGUAAGGACCAUAUGAUCUGGGUGUUGGUGAUACAGGUAAGGACCAUAUGAUCUGGGUGUUUACAUUAGGGUGAUACAGGUAAGGACUGUAUGAUCUGGGUGUUUACAUUAGGGUGAUACAGGUAAGGACCAUAUGAUCUGGGUGUUUACAUUAGGGUGAUACAGGUAAGGACCAUAUGAUCUGGGUGUUUACAUUAGGGUGAUACAGGUAAGGACCAUAUGAUCUGGGUGUUUACAUUAGGGUGAUACAGGUAAGGACCAUAUGAUCUGGGUGUUUACAUUAGGGUGAUACAGGUAAGGACCAUAUGAUCUGGGUGUUUACAUUAGGGUGAUACAGGUAAGGACCAUAUGAUCUGGGUGUUUACAUUAGGGUGAUACAGGU